rnacentral:misc_RNA from 1 species
GUUUCAUUUGCAUGUUUUGUGCAAGUGUACAUUCCUCUACAUUUGGAGUGUGUGAAAAAUACUCGAGCACCAGGUCAAACUCCCAACAAUGGGGUGAGGGUGCUCAGAGUUGUAGAUGCACAGGUGUGUGGAUUUGUGACCCAAACGUGCACAUUUGUGUGUGUUCCACACCAGCACAGAGAGGGCACUUUGAAGAUUCAUUAAUGAUCCUUCCGCAGGUUCACCUACGGAAA